rnacentral:rRNA from 1 species
UACGAAGGGGGCUAGCGUUGUUCGGAAUUACUGGGCGUAAAGGGCGCGCAGGCGGCUCUUCAAGUCAGAUGUGAAAGCCCCGGGCUCAACCUGGGAACUGCAUUUGAGACUGGAGAGCUUGAGUUCGGGUAGAGGAGAGCGGAAUUCCCAGUGUAGAAGGUGAAAUUCGUAGAUAUUGGGAAGAACACCGGUGGCGAAGGCGGCUCUCUGGACCGAUACUGACGCUGAGG